rnacentral:lncRNA from 1 species
ACAUUCCAGGCUCUGUGAACUAAGUGACUGAAGCUGAUUGACACAGGUCAAGGGGACUUCAAGGAAGAAAGCCAGCCUUAGACUGACAUCAGAGAACCAAACUCCGGUGUCUAAGCUCAAGAGGUUAGAAUCCUGAGAACUGUUUGGAAUAAGGAAUCCAAAUAUUGUCUUCCAGCUUCACCUUGUCACGACAGUCCUCGCCAGGGACAGCUGAGGAUGGAAACCAGCCCUGCACACUGCUGGCUCUGGAGGCCUGGUAGAUUAACAGGCACCGGACUUACAAUUGGUCUCUUAAGCCUUUCAACUCUUUAGAAGCAAAGGGGAAGGCAUGGAGGGUGCCAUGAAAUCAAAGACAUUGUUCGUAAGCUCCUGGAUCUUAUCAGUGUGAGGAAGUGUUCAAAAAAGUUCUGUCCCCCCUAGAGACAAAAAGACCUCUUCUCUGCCUCCCAGCUCCCAUGGCGCCUCUCUCGAUACGUGGCCUCUUCUGAUACUUACCUCAGCUUGGACACAGCUCUCUGAAGAUCAUCUACAUCUCCAUUUAUGCCGUGUGCACGCAGUACCAACAGAGGUCAGAGGAGGGUGUCGGAUCCCCUGGAACUGGAGUCACAGAUUCUUCCUUGCGUGGAUGAAACAGUCCCAACGAACACUUUAAAAAGACAAAUGUUCCCGACAGCACUGGUUGAAUUCAAAACUCGGCAGAUCCAUGUUCUUAUCCUUAGACAAGAGAGGGGCCAUAACAAGAUGGAAUGACGGAACAGACGUGAGAGAUGAUGUCCACCCAGAGGGUCUGCACUUCUCGGAGCCAGAAGGUGGAGAAGAGUAGGGAUGGAGGAAGUUCGAAGUUUUAGGAGUCUGCUCUUGGGUCCCUAGGCAUGAGGACAAGCUUUUCCUGUACUCAAUGCUCAUCUCUCAGUUGUGCCCACAUUGGUACACAUUACUUGCUUUCAACUGCUGCUGCUGCUGUUUCCUAAUUCAAUAAAGAUAUGGCUGGCUCAGCAGAGAGCUGUC